UAACCGCCCAUGAACGGGAAGAGUAAACGGCUGAACCGGUUAAGAGAGCCCGGGUUUUGGUGGGAGCCGGGUGCGGGAGGCCGUUGAAAAUCACCCGGGAGGUGCCUGCCGAAACCUUUAAAGGGAGUAAGCCAGGCCGGUUCGCCGCCGUUAAGUGGCGACAAAAGUGGCCGGCGCGUUCGUUAUUUUUGCCGUUUUGACGGGCCGGCAGUGAGGGUGGUACCGCGGGCCUUGCAUCCCGUCCCUUAA
rnacentral:ncRNA from 1 species